AUCAUUUGAGAAGAAACAGGCGCACACGCAGUGAGUGCGGUGCUGCCCUGAUCUUGUGUGAGGAAGCGUGUAAUACGCAUACACACAUACAGGGCUGCUCGUGCUUCUGCAGAGACGGGUGAGCUUGCCGCCUUGUGCCGGCGUUCCUCCUGCUGCGCGGCGGUGCCUCGAGGCCGGUGCUUUUCCAGUGCGCGUCUUGCCUGUCGGCUGCCUGCCGCGGCACCAUGUCGAGCUCUGUGUCAUGGCAGCGCUACGACGAUGAGUUCCACGUCUCUGGCGUUCUUACGGAGGCAGCGCGGGCGUGUGUGUCAGCCCACCCGACCGAUGUGAAAGACUUCUUCUCCCGCUACUUCCGUGAGGUGGCUGGGGGGACGUCUGUGAAGGCGCUUCAUCACAACGAGGUGCUGAGCGCGGCUGGUGAGACAGCUAUCACCUUCACCCUGGAGCUCUGCGUGGGGCCUGAGGUGUCCGUGACCACCGGCGAUUCGCUUUCAUUCGCCGAUAGGGGCAGGGAUGGAGAGGCGUGCGCGUCCCUGGCAGCGUCGGAAGGGGUCACCGACGCCGAGGGCAACCGCUACUCCGUGAUCCAAACCACGUGUGCUGCGGCGGUGUCGAAACUACUUCAGCUCGGCCACGCAGAGCCGCAGUGCGAGUGGGAUUCGGCUCUACGGGCUGCGAUCUCCACGUCCCCACUCGCCAAUGGCGCCUCUGCACUUCAAUGGGUGCUGAGCAUCAUGGCGUCUUUGGUGGCCGCUAAACAGCGCUGCGUUCCACUGCACCACUACGUUGCUGCGCUGAUCGAUGACCGCCGCAGUGGUGGACCCGCCGCUGGCGGCGCGCACUUGGCACUCUCGCAAAACGGUGUCUCAGCAGCUUCAACAGCGCGAGCUGGCUCAUACACGUCAGUGCGACCGUACUCUGUACCGCAGUUGCUGGUGACAUUCUUGGUUCGCGCCGCCGGAUCAGACGCGCCGGAAGCGGCGCAUGGUGUGCGCUUCUCUCACGUGUAUGUUGCCUUGGAUGCGCUGACCUCGCCUGUGGGCGACGCGAACGGGGCUGAGAAGCCGAUGCCCGUCAGCGGCGCUGUGCUGCGGCAGCGCAUGCAGAAGGUGCGCCAGGCUGCUGAGCGCUUUGCGCAAUCCCACCCCACCUCCUCCAGCGUGGACACGCGUGGGGGACUACACUGGGACGGCGCCGCAAACCUAACAGACGUUGUGAAAGCUGUGACGGAGGCGCUGUCUGAUGCUCAACUGAACGUCGGCGCGGAGGUGUGCGUGGGCCUGUCAAUGAGAGCGUCCACGACACAGGUGCCUGCAGCCAACACGGCGGACGGUGGCGCGGCCAAGAAUGCCUCCGGAGACUGCAGGGUGCUAUACAGCCUCUUUGGAGGCGGAGAGCCGCCGGUAACGGGUGAUCAGCUCAGCGAGUACGUCAAGGAGCAGCUGAAAGAGGUGGACCCGGACAUUGUGCAGUUUCUCGAGGAUACUCAUGCCAUGGAAGACUGCGUCGCUCGCCAGAGGCUUCAGAUGGCUCUGCAGGACUCCAUCGUUCUGAGUGACAUGGUUGCUGGGCAACGGGAGUCAGGGCCGGCAGCAUCGGGCCUGGCCAGUUCGUUACCCGUACCGGCUCACGACGGCGCGUUCCCGAACAUUGUGAUGAACCCCUGCGACUGUGGCACCAUAAGCGACGUUAUCGAGUACAUGUGUGCUACCGGGGAGGAUUCGCGCCGGGCAGUAACUGUUUUAGUCGGCACUGCUGCCGGGGAUCCGCAGACUGCGGCUCACGUCGUCGAUUUGGCAAUCGCCGGCGGCGCGUCUUAUGUGCUCGUCAGCGCCGGCGUCUUCAGUGCGCACACAGCUGCAGCGGUGAGCCGACUGGCAUCUCGAACGGACGAGUUGACGAGUAUGCAGAUGGUGGCACCAAGGCCGUCUGCGCAGCGUUUCAACCGCUACGACUGGCCGCCGCUGCCCACCGCGGAGGUCGCACCGAUCCGCCGGAAGGGUGACAAAAAGAAGAAGGAUAUCAGCAAGGCCAACAGCAAGCGGAAGUAGGCCCUGUGAGGCGGCGGGCCUAGGGGCGAGAAGGAUGCCGUGGGUGGACGGGGCAGUUGGUUGGUCGUCGUCUUGCGCUUGAUUCGCCGCCGCGCACCCAUCCACACCACCGCUUUUCUUUCCGUCCUCAUGGGCUGCACCUCCACCCCUCGCUGAUCCCCGAACUGCCCGCCUACCAGCGCAAGAUGGGAAGAAGUGUGUGCGCGUGUUUGGGGGGGGGGUGGGUGGGAAGGGGGAAGGAGGGUCGCUUUCCUCCGGCAUUUGCGUCUCUCGGGCACUUCAAGGCGCAUCUCGUGUGCUGCGCUGUGGCUCACUGUGCCCUGCCGUAUCGCUCGUCUUGCUUUUCGGAUUACAUGUCUUAUGAUGUACAGCUCCUCCGUAUCAAAGCAGCGACCGUGACGGCAGCAG
rnacentral:misc_RNA from 1 species